rnacentral:lncRNA from 1 species
CGGAUCCUCGGGAUUUCCCAGAGCUAUUUUCAGUGCUUUGAAAAUUGCAGUAAUGUCGAUGUUCUUCCCCCACCCCCACCCCCCUUCUCCCCUCUCUUCGGCCCAGUAACGUUUGGCAGCCUUUGACGAGGGAGCUCUUAACCUUUGAAGCAAGGCUUUAGGUUCAAACUACCUCCUUCACUACCCCUGUAAGCCUCCCCUCUCCCCACAUACAGGCACAUUGCGAGGAUGGAUUUGGCGGCAGCUGGGAUCUGUCUCCCCAGGCCUCCCCUCUACCUCAGGCUAUGCCACUAGGUCUCCUUCAUCUUCUCCCGAAGACACAGGAGAUUGGGACAAUAGCUGGAGUGGAUUAUGCAUUCCCGUAGGCGAUACUUCCCUAUAUGAGCUUCAGGAUGCAGUUGGAAGCUCGGGAACAAAGCGGGCAUCGAAUGUCAAGGAAACUCAAAACGGAAGGAGGGAUGCUACUUGAAAGUGUGACUCAAAAAAAGGUUUCGCUUUACAGCCAUCAGUAGCACCAGGAGACAGCUCCAUUAAAAAAGUAGUUUUCCACUGCUCUUGAAAAGCCGUUAUUUUUUACAUCGCUUUUAGGAAGAUAGAUUAACAAAACAUCACAUUUCAAGCCACUCUGAUCUGUAAUUAAAUGGAGGAGCCCGUUUGUAUUCUCCUAUGGCUUUUACAGAAGUUGCAGUGAUCCAAAGUCAGGUUGCUGUGUCAGAGUGGCAUUUUUAUUAAUGAGAAUACAAAAAGCUUGCAUAUUCUUAGCCCGGCUUGAAUUUAGUUGCUAAGCAACCGCUGUAUGGUAAUUCAUCCGCGAAAUUUAAAUCUUGGAGAAAGGAUCCUGCGUUUUGCUGAAUGGUCGCCACGAGGAAAACAACUUGUGGGACCGGCGGCAGCUGCCGCCGCGCCAC